rnacentral:rRNA from 1 species
GAUGAACGCUGGCGGCGUGCUUAACACAUGCAAGUCGAACGAUGAAGCCCAGCUUGCUGGGUGGAUUAGUGGCGAACGGGUGAGUAACACGUGAGUAACCUGCCCUUAACUCUGGGAUAAGCCUGGGAAACUGGGUCUAAUACCGGAUAGGAGCGCCGACCGCAUGGUGGGUGUUGGAAAGAUUUAUCGGUUUUGGAUGGACUCGCGGCCUAUCAGCUUGUUGGUGAGGUAAUGGCUCACCAAGGCGACGACGGGUAGCCGGCCUGAGAGGGUGACCGGCCACACUGGGACUGAGACACGGCCCAGACUCCUACGGGAGGCAGCAGUGGGGAAUAUUGCACAAUGGGCGCAAGCCUGAUGCAGCGACGCCGCGUGAGGGAUGACGGCCUUCGGGUUGUAAACCUCUUUCAGUAGGGAAGAAGCGAAAGUGACGGUACCUGCAGAAGAAGCACCGGCUAACUACGUG